UUGUGAUUUUACGUUGUCAACAGAAAGUUGUUAUGCCUCUCUUAAAUUUUUCCGAUUUUCUGGUAGAAAAAGAUAUUUCUCUAUACGCUAUAAGAGUUUAUUCUGUUCCUUAAGGCCUGUUUGAUCUCCUGAAAAUAGAGAGAGAGAGAGAGAAUCGAGUAUAAGAAAAUAUAGAUAAUGGAUACAUUUCUUGAUGCCUCUAUUGGACAAUGAAAAUAUAGUUACUUAGAAUAUUACUUCAUAUUUGGAUACUUUUUGGUAGAAUUUAAAGAUGUUUUUUAUUCCUAAGGAUUUCCUUUAAAAUUAUCUUUAGGUGUUUGUUCAUACAGGCAAUCAAAUAUUUUCUACAUCUUUUAGAAUAGGAGUGUUAUUAAUAAUACAGAUCCAGCACCUAAAGAACACUUAAAAGAAUAGACUUGGAUCACCCCUUAUAUAAUUCUGAUGUUUGGCCAUUGGAUUGGUUUUCUAUUAUCCGAUUUAAAAUUUUCUACAACAAAUCAAUGGAUGUAUAGAGUUCCAGGGCAGUACAUUAUUUGUCCUUUUCAUGAAUAUUACCAACAAUGCAUCCAAAAUAUAUUUCUUUUGGGCAUGACUUACUAACGUGAUUUAUCUACAACAAGAAGUGUUCAACAAUUUCUACGAUAGAUAUGCAAUAAUACAGUGAAGAGAGCUUGCUAUGAAGAACAAAUUAGAAUACAUCAAGUAAAAUGGAAAGAAAUAAGGAUAGUUAUCUUUUGGGAACAUGUAUUUGGGUCAUAGAUAUAAUUUCGUAAGAAAACCUCAUCGAUUGUUCCCUGCUUUUCAAUGAAACUGUGUGCCUAAAAGGAGUAAACCUGGAGCAACAAUAUUGGAAUCAACAAAACCAAUGUGAGAUGGUUUCUGCUUUCAAAUAGUUCCUGCAAAUACCUCUUCCAAAAAUUAUGCUCUCGAACAUUCAAAUCCUUGGACUCUGUGCUGUACCUCCCAAACCUGCUUUUUCUUUGAUAUAAAGAUAAUUUGAAAAUACUCUUUUUGAGUAUUAUUGUUAUGAAGAUAUGAUUGCAGUGGAUAAGAAAUAUAUGCGAGCUACUGGAAACAUGAACAACCAGUAUUCAUCAGAAAGAAAAUUGGUGAAAAUUUAAUAGAAGAGUCAAGAAUCCAUCCAAGGAGUUAUUUUAUUUCUGUAAUUAAUUCUAACCUCUAGCAUUCUCUAAUAAAUCUUAAUAAAAUUGUAAUGUACAUAGUUUCAUUUGAAUCCCUUGAAUAGUCUUUAAAUUUAAGUAUCUAACAUAAAUGUUGUAUUACUAUAUGGUGGU